UGGAGCAUGGCGUAGUUUGGUAACGUUCCCUCUUGGGGCAUGGGGGUCGGGGGUUCAAACCCCCCUGCCCCAA
rnacentral:tRNA from 1 species